UACGAAGGGGGCUAGCGUUGCUCGGAAUCACUGGGCGUAAAGGGUGCGUAGGCGGGUUUUUAAGUCAGGGGUGAAAUCCUGGAGCUCAACUCCAGAACUGCCUUUGAUACUGAAGAUCUUGAGUCCGGGAGAGGUGAGUGGAACUGCGAGUGUAGAGGUGAAAUUCGUAGAUAUUCGCAAGAACACCAAUGGCGAAGGCAGCUCGCUGGGACGGUACUGACGCUGAGACGCGAAAGCGUGGGGAGCAAACAGG
rnacentral:rRNA from 1 species